rnacentral:rRNA from 1 species
CCUGGGGAUCUGCGCAUGGGCGCAAGCCUGAUGCAGCAGACGCCGCGUGAGUGAUGAGGCCUUCGGGUUGUAACCUCUUUUCUGGGGGACGAUAAUGGACGGUCCCUCUGAAUUAGCUCUUGGCUACUUUGUGCCAGCAGCCCCGGUAUUCUCGUGGGGGGGCGGGUAU